CAGAGGUCCCAAGCGUUGUUCGGAUUCACUGGGCGUAAAGGGUGCGCAGGUGGGUUUGCAAGUUUGAUGUGAAAGCCCCGGGCUUAACCCGGGAAUGGCAUUGAAUACUGCAGAUCUGGAGGAUUGGAGGGGGGGACUGGAAUUCUUGGUGUAGCAGUGAAAUGCGUAGAUAUCAAGAGGAACACCAGUGGCGAAGGCGAGUCCCUGGACAAUACCUGACACUGAGGCACGAAAGCUAGGGGAGCAAACAGGAUUAGAUACCCUGGUAGUCCUAGCUGUAAACGGUGCGCAUUUGCUGUAAACGGAAUCGACCCCGUUUGUGGCGAAGCUAACGCGAUAAAUGCGCCGCCUGGGAGUACGGUCGCAAGAUUA
rnacentral:rRNA from 1 species